GAUGAACGCUGGCGGCGUGCCUAAUACAUGCAAGUCGAGCGAACAGACGAGGAGCUUGCUCCUCUGACGUUAGCGGCGGACGGGUGAGUAACACGUGGAUAACCUACCUAUAAGACUGGGAUAACUUCGGGAAACCGGAGCUAAUACCGGAUAAUAUAUUGAACCGCAUGGUUCAAUAGUGAAAGACGGUUUUGCUGUCACUUAUAGAUGGAUCCGCGCCGCAUUAGCUAGUUGGUAAGGUAAAGGCUUACCAAGGCAACGAUGCGUAGCCGACCUGAGAGGGUGAUCGGCCACACUGGAACUGAGACACGGUCCAGACUCCUACGGGAGGCAGCAGUAGGGAAUCUUCCGCAAUGGGCGAAAGCCUGACGGAGCCACGCCGCGUGAGUGAUGAAGGUCUUCGGAUCGUAAAACUCUGUUAUUAGGGAAGAACAAAUGUGUAAGUAACUAUGCACGUCUUGACGGUACCUAAUCAGAAAGCCACGGCUAACUACGUG
rnacentral:rRNA from 1 species